rnacentral:rRNA from 1 species
GAUCCUGGCUCAGGAUGAACGCUAGCUACAGGCUUAACACAUGCAAGUCGAGGGGAAACGACAUCGAGAGCUUGCUUUUGAUGGGCGUCGACCGGCGCACGGGUGAGUAACGCGUAUCCAACCUGCCCAUCACUUGGGAAUAACCUUGCGAAAGUAAGACUAAUGCCCAAUGAUAUCUCUAGAAGACAUCUGAAAGAGAUUAAAGAUUCAUCGGUGAUGGAUGGGGAUGCG